GAUGAACGCUGACAGAAUGCUUAACACAUGCAAGUCUACCAAGAAUCACUUCGGUGAGGAAUGGUGGCGGACGGGUGAGUAACGCGUAAAUAAUCUGCCCUUUAGACUGGGAUAUCCUUUGGAAACGAAGGUUAAUACCGGAUAUUAUGAGAUGGACGCAUGUUCAACUUAUGAAAGCUAAAUGCACUAGAGGAGGAGUUUGCGUCCCAUUAGCUAGUUGGUGAGGUAAAGGCUCACCAAGGUCACGAUGGGUAGCCGGCCUGAGAGGGUGAACGGCCACAAGGGAACUGAGACACGGUCCUUACUCCUACGGGAGGCAGCAGUGGGGAAUAUUGGACAAUGGACCAAAAGUCUGAUCCAGCAAUUCUGUGUGCACGAUGAAGGUCUUCGGAUUGUAAAGUGCUUUCAGUAGGGAAGAAAAAAAUGACGGUACCUACAGAAGAAGCGACGGCUAAAUAUGUGCCAGCAGCCGCGGUAAAAC
rnacentral:rRNA from 1 species